rfam:Felis catus isolate Cinnamon breed Abyssinian chromosome D1, whole genome shotgun sequence.
GCCUGGGUGGCUCAGUUGGUUGAGUGUCUGACUCUUGAUUUCAACUCAGGUCAUGAUCUCAUGGUUUGUGGGUUCGAAGCCCACAUCAGGCU